UCCGCUCAGGAUGAACGCUGGCGGCGUGCCUAAUACAUGCAAGUCGAGCGAACAGACAAGGAGCUUGCUCCUUUGACGUUAGCGGCGGACGGGUGAGUAACACGUGGGUAACCUACCUAUAAGACUGGGAUAACUUCGGGAAACCGGAGCUAAUACCGGAUAAUAUUUCGAACCGCAUGGUUCGAUAGUGAAAGAUGGUUUUGCUAUCACUUAUAGAUGGACCCGCGCCGUAUUAGCUAGUUGGUAAGGUAACGGCUUACCAAGGCGACGAUACGUAGCCGACCUGAGAGGGUGAUCGGCCACACUGGAACUGAGACACGGUCCAGACUCCUACGGGAGGCAGCAGUAGGGAAUCUUCCGCAAUGGGCGAAAGCCUGACGGAGCAACGCCGCGUGAGUGAUGAAGGUCUUCGGAUCGUAAAACUCUGUUAUUAGGGAAGAACAUACGUGUAAGUAACUAUGCACGUCUUGACGGUACCUAAUCAGAAAGCCACGGCUAACUACGUGCCAGCAGCCGCGGUAAUACGUAGGUGGCAAGCGUUAUCCGGAAUUAUUGGGCGUAAAGCGCGCGUAGGCGGUUUUUUAAGUCUGAUGUGAAAGCCCACGGCUCAACCGUGGAGGGUCAUUGGAAACUGGAAAACUUGAGUGCAGAAGAGGAAAGUGGAAUUCCAUGUGUAGCGGUGAAAUGCGCAGAGAUAUGGAGGAACACCAGUGGCGAAGGCGACUUUCUGGUCUGUAACUGACGCUGAUGUGCGAAAGCGUGGGGAUCAAACAGGAUUAGAUACCCUGGUAGUCCACGCCGUAAACGAUGAGUGCUA
rnacentral:rRNA from 1 species